GAGUUUGAUCGUGGCUCAGAUUGAACGCUGGCGGCAUGCCUUACACAUGCAAGUCGAACGGCAGCACGGGAGCUUGCUCCUGGUGGCGAGUGGCGAACGGGUGAGUAAUGCAUCGGAACGUAUCCUGGAGUGGGGGAUAACGUAGCGAAAGUUACGCUAAUACCGCAUAUUCUGUGAGCAGGAAAGCGGGGGACCUUCGGGCCUCGCGCUCUUGGAGCGGCCGAUGUCGGAUUAGCUAGUUGGUGAGGUAAAGGCUCACCAAGGCGACGAUCCGUAGCAGGUCUGAGAGGAUGAUCUGCCACACUGGAACUGAGACACGGUCCAGACUCCUACGGGAGGCAGCAGUGGGGAAUUUUGGACAAUGGGGGCAACCCUGAUCCAGCCAUGCCGCGUGAGUG
rnacentral:rRNA from 7 species